GAUGCAAACUGAACAACCGGAACCCUACCCAUCUGCUUAGUCUGAGCCACAAGAUCAUACGGUGCUGAAAUCUUCUUAGCAAACGUGAACACCUCAUCAUCAUCCAUGUUGUUCAAGACUCUAACUUCACCCAUCAAUGACCUAACGUUCUUCACAGUCUCUGCAAUGUUACCUGUUGCGGUUAAAUCUCCUUGGAUCCUAAUCAUAGCAGCACCUUCUCUGAUUCUCCUCAAAGCUUCUCCUGUAUCACGGCAACCAC